CGCGAGGUCACCGUACCCGGCCCCGCCCACCGGGACGUGGUUACCCGGUUUGGACCGCACCGACUUGAGCUCCCCGUUGGCGCCCCUGUCCGACUCGCCGACGUUCUUCUUGGAACGGGGCGAGACGCGGGUGUUGCCCGUUCGGGCAGAGGCGGGAAUCUCCAUGUUGGUGAAGCCGCUGAUGUUGGUGACGUCGCCGCUGAUGUUGGUGACGUCGCCGCUGUCGACGCGGACGAGGGCGGCGGUGAUGGAGGUGGGCGCGCCGCCGGAGAUGAGGUCGGGUACCUGCACGGCGAGGCCGUUGCCAGAUUUGCGCUUGUUUCGCGAGCUGGUCAGCUUCGCCGCCCUCUUGCGGCUUCCCGGGGAGAGCGAGCC
rnacentral:lncRNA from 1 species